GGGGUAUGUGAGGAUGCUGGGGAACCUGCUUAGGGGACUAGACAGUAAUGAAGAUCCAUGACAUGGGAGAGAGGGUAAAACCCGGGAUUAGCAAGGAAGAGCUCAGUAAUAGCCAAGAGCUUCUGCAAGCUUCGGAAGGGUGAUUUUGUUCAAAGAAACCUUAAGAGGUAGAAAGGCAUGAGCAAGUGGAGUCUGAGAAGGGCUUUUUCUCAGCGUGCAGGCGCAGGCGGAAGUUUUAGAAGUGUGGUGGGAGAGACAACUGUGAAAUGGGAAAGAUGCUGAGAAGGAAGCCUCAGAUCGGUGGACAGCCCCAAGAAAGACACGGAGGAGUUACCAGGUGAGGAAACUGAGACCAGAGAAGGAAAAUAACUUGCCGAACGAAGGCUACAAACUUGCAAGUGAUGGGGCCUGGUUGAACUUAAGGUCUUUCUGUUUGGCAAUAGCAUCUCAGUGACAUCCUUGGUUGGAAUAGUUUUAGAAUCAAGGUAAAGAUGGAAGUCAGACCAUGGAGUUCCCAGGAGGAAGGAGCUAGAGGGGAAAUGGGACCUGAGGGGUGGGUUCCCCAUCUGGGUGUUGACAGGGAGGGGAGGGCAGGCGAAGGUGAGAGGCGACAUCCCAGAUCAGGUGGGCCUGGCUGGGCAGCCAGGGUUGGGGCUACAGAGGGCUUGGGCCUCUCAGCAGAGCUGGGGCUCCCUGUGGUAGAGGCUGCAAUUUGGACAUCACAGAGCCCCAGAGAGCAUGAGUCCCCAACCCUGGUCUUUAACUUGUCACCUUCUCCCAGACAUAAACAGCCACCCUCAGGCCUACAGCCAUUCCCCUUUUUGUUGAAAGAGGAAGCAGUCACAGAAGGCACCCUUCACCCACUCUCUGUGGUCUCAAGAAGAGGAACCUGGAUCUGAUUUGGAUUUUUUUGAAGAAAUCUUGCUUUGAUGUGGUCUAAUCCAACUUCUUCAUUUGCUGGUCUGAGUGGGACAGUGGGUGCUGUACCUCUGUGGGGACCGACCAAGGGGAUUCUCUCAGCCAGGGAUCCCCCCAAGGGCGGAGUUUCCCAGCCCCGGUACCCAUGACUCCUCGGGUACCUCCAAUGAUCUCCAGGCUAUUGGAACCUUCUCUAGACAAAAUUUAAAUAUUGAAAUAAAUAUUCUAUGAAAAUAAACCUGUGGGAAAAAAU
rnacentral:lncRNA from 1 species